UACAGAGGUCCCAAGCGUUAUUCGGAUUUAUUGGGCGUAAAGGGUGCGUAGGUGGCGUCGUAAGUCGGGUGUGAAAUCUCGGGGCUUAACUCCGAAACUGCAUUCGAUACUGCGGUGCUUGAGGACUGGAGAGGAGACUGGAAUUUACGGUGUAGCAGUGAAAUGCGUAGAGAUCGUAAGGAAGACCAGUGGCGAAGGCGGGUCUCUGGAAAGUUCCUGACGCUGAGGCACGAAGGCCAGGGGAGCAAACGGG
rnacentral:rRNA from 1 species